GACGAACGCUGGCGGCGUGCUUAACACAUGCAAGUCGAGCGGUAAGGCCCUUUCGGGGGUACACGAGCGGCGAACGGGUGAGUAACACGUGGGUGACCUGCCCUCAGCUCUGGGAUAAGCCUGGGAAACCGGGUCUAAUACCGGAUAUCACCUUGGGAGGCAUCUUCCGGGGUUGAAAGUUUUUGGCGGCUGAGGAUGGGCCCGCGGCCUAUCAGUUUGUUGGUGGGGUAGUGGCCUACCAAGGCGACGACGGGUAGCCGGCCUGAGAGGGCGACCGGCCACACUGGGACUGAGACACGGCCCAGACUCCUACGGGAGGCAGCAGUGGGGAUAUUGCACAAUGGGCGAAAGCCUGAUGCAGCGACGCCGCGUGAGGGGA
rnacentral:rRNA from 1 species